rnacentral:rRNA from 1 species
GACGAACGCUGGCGGCGUGCUUAACACAUGCAAGUCGAACGGAAAGGCCCUGCUUUUGUGGGGUGCUCGAGUGGCGAACGGGUGAGUAACACGUGGGUAACCUGCCCUUGACUUUGGGAUAACUUCAGGAAACUGGGGCUAAUACCGGAUAGGAGCUCCUGCUGCAUGGUGGGGGUUGGAAAGUUUCGGCGGUUGGGGAUGGACUCGCGGCUUAUCAGCUUGUUGGUGGGGUAGUGGCUUACCAAGGCUUUGACGGGUAGCCGGCCUUAGAGGGUGACCGGCCACAUUGGGACUGAGAUACGGCCCAGACUCCUACGGGAGGCAGCAGUGGGGAAUAUUGCACAAUGGGCGGAAGCCUGAUGCAGCAACGCCGCGUGCGGGAUGACGGCCUUCGGGUUGUAAACCGCUUUCGCCUGUGACGAAGCGUGAGUGACGGUAAUGGGUAAAGAAGCACCGGCUAACUACGU